rnacentral:rRNA from 1 species
GUCCACGCCCUAAACGAUGAGAACUAGAUGUCGGGAGGGUUUGCCUUCCGGUGUCGUAGCUAACGCGUUAAGUUCUCCGCCUGGGAAGUACGGCCGCAAGGUUGAAACUCAAAGGAAUUGACGGGACCCGCACAAGCGGUGGAGCAUGUGGUUUAAUUCGAUGCAACGCGAAGAACCUUACCUGGUCUUGACAUCCCAGGAAUCCUGCAGAAAUGCGGGAGUGCCUUCGGGAACCUGGAGACAGGUGCUGCAUGGCUGUCGU